rnacentral:rRNA from 1 species
ACGAACGCUGGCGGCGUGCUUCACACCUGCAAGUCGAACGGAAAGGCCCUGCUUUUGUGGGGUGCUCGAGUGGCGAACGGGUGAGUAACACGUGAGUAACCUGCCCUUGACUUUGGGAUAACUUCAGGAAACUGGGGCUAAUACCGGAUAGGAACUCCUGCUGCAUGGUGGGGGUUGGAAAGUUUCGGCGGUUGGGGAUGGACUCGCGGCUUAUCAGCUUGUUGGUGGGGUAGUGGCUUACCAAGGCUUUGACGGGUAGCCGGCCUGAGAGGGUGACCGGCCACAUUGGGACUGAGAUACGGCCCAGACUCCUACGGGAGGCAGCAGUGGGGAAUAUUGCACAAUGGGCGGAAGCCUGAUGCAGCAACGCCGCGUGCGGGAUGACGGCCUUCGGGUUGUAAACCGCUUUCGCCUGUGACGAAGCGUGAGUGACGGUAAUGGGUAAAGAAGCACCGGCUAACUACGUG